GAUGAACGCUAGCUACAGGCUUAACACAUGCAAGUCGAGGGGCAGCAUGGUCUUAGCUUGCUAAGGCCGAUGGCGACCGGCGCACGGGUGAGUAACACGUAUCCAACCUGCCGUCUACUCUUGGACAGCCUUCUGAAAGGAAGAUUAAUACAAGAUGGCAUCAUGAGUCCGCAUGUUCACAUGAUUAAAGGUAUUCCGGUAGACGAUGGGGAUGCGUUCCAUUAGAUAGUAGGCGGGGUAACGGCCCACCUAGUCUUCGAUGGAUAGGGGUUCUGAGAGGAAGGUCCCCCACAUUGGAACUGAGACACGGUCCAAACUCCUACGGGAGGCAGCAGUGAGGAAUAUUGGUCAAUGGGCGAGAGCCUGAACCAGCCAAGUAGCGUGAAGGAUGACUGCCCUAUGGGUUGUAAACUUCUUUUAUAAAGGAAUAAAGUCGGGUAUGUAUACCCGUUUGCAUGUACUUUAUGAAUAAGGAUCGGCUAACUCCGUGCCAGCAGCCGCGGUAAUACGGAGGAUCCGAGCGUUAUCCGGAUUUAUUGGGUUUAAAGGGAGCGUAGAUGGAUGUUUAAGUCAGUUGUGAAAGUUUGCGGCUCAACCGUAAAAUUGCAGUUGAUACUGGAUAUCUUGAGUGCAGUUGAGGCAGGCGGAAUUCGUGGUGUAGCGGUGAAAUGCUUAGAUAUCACGAAGAACUCCGAUUGCGAAGGCAGCCUGCUAAGCUGCAACUGACAUUGAGGCUCGAAAGUGUGGGUAUCAA
rnacentral:rRNA from 1 species